AACGAACGCUGGCGGCAUGCCUAACACAUGCAAGUCGAACGAGACCUUCGGGUCUAGUGGCGCACGGGUGCGUAACGCGUGGGAACCUGCCCUUAGGUUCGGAAUAACUCCCCGAAAGGGGUGCUAAUACCGGAUAAUGUCUUCGGACCAAAGAUUUAUCGCCUUUGGAUGGGCCCGCGUUGGAUUAGCUAGUUGGUAGGGUAAAAGCCUACCAAGGCGACGAUCCAUAGCUGGUCUGAGAGGAUGAUCAGCCACACUGGGACUGAGACGCGGCCAGAAUCCUACGGGAGGGAGCAGUGGGGAAUAUUGGACAAUGGGCGAAAGCCAGAUCCAGCAAUGCCGCGUGAGUGAUGAAGGCCUUAGGGUAAUAAAGCUCUUUUACCCGGGAUGAUAAUGACAGUACCGGGAGAAUAAGCUCCGGCUAACUCCGUGC
rnacentral:rRNA from 1 species